AGAGUUUGAUCCUGGCUCAGAACGAACGUUGGCGGCGUGGAUUAGGCAUGCAAGUCGAACGAGAACCCUUAGGCAACUGAGGGGGAAAGUGGCGAAAGGGGCAGUAAUGUAUGGGUAACCUACCCCGGGGACCGGGAUAGCCUUCCUAACGGAUGGGUAAUACCGGGCGAUCUGGCGAGGACGCAUGUUCUUGCCAGGAAAUGAGUUUCGCCUCGGGAGGGGCUCAUAUAGUAUUAGCUAGUUGGUGAGGUAACGGCUCACCAAGGCUCAGAUGCUUAGCGGGUGUGAGAGCACGACCCGCGCCACUGGCACUGAGACACUGGCCAGACUCCUACGGGAGGCUGCAGUCGAGGAUCUUCGGCAAUGGGCGCAAGCCUGACCGAGCGACGCCGCGUGUGCGAUGAAGGCCUUCGGGUUGUAAAGCACUGUCGAGGGGGAGGAAAGCCGCAAGGUCUGACCUAUCCCUGGAGGAAGCACGGGCUAAGUUCGUGCCAGCAGCCGCGGUAAGACGAACCGUGCGAACGUUGUUCGGAAUCACUGGGCUUAAAGGGCGCGUAGGCGGUUGAUCAAGUCUGGGGUGAAAUCUUUCGGCUUAACCGGAAAAGUGCCUUGGAUACUGGUCAGCUGGAGGGAGGUAGGGGCAGUUGGAACUUCCAGUGGAGCGGUGAAAUGCGUUGAUAUUGGAAGGAACGCCGGUGGCGAAAGCGAGCUGCUGGACCUCUUCUGACGCUGAUGCGCGAAAGCUAGGGGAGCAAACGGGAUUAGAUACCCUAGUAGUCC
rnacentral:rRNA from 1 species